rnacentral:rRNA from 1 species
AUUGAACGCUGGCGGCAUGCUUUACACAUGCAAGUCGAACGGCCGCGCGGGCUUCGGCCUGGCGGCGAGUGGCGAACGGGUGAGUAAUGCAUCGGAACGUGCCCAGUAGUGGGGGAUAGCCCGGCGAAAGCCGGAUUAAUACCGCAUACGACAUGAGGGUGAAAGCGGGGGACCGAAAGGCCUCGCGCUAUUGGAGCGGCCGAUGUCGGAUUAGCUAGUUGGUGGGGUAAAGGCUUACCAAGGCGACGAUCCGUAGCUGGUCUGAGAGGACGACCAGCCACACUGGGACUGAGACACGGCCCAGACUCCUACGGGAGGCAGCAGUGGGGAAUUUUGGACAAUGGGGGCAACCCUGAUCCAGCCAUGCCGCGUGCGGGAAGAAGGCCUUCGGGUUGUAAACCGCUUUUGUUCGGGAAGAAAUCCUCUGGGCGAAUACCCCGGGGGGAUGACGGUACCGGAAGAAUAAGCACCGGCUAACUACGUG